rnacentral:rRNA from 1 species
AAUGCUAGUCUCCGAGAACAAUACCCAGCCUUAUACAACAUUACACGCGAUAAGAAUAAUACUAUUGCGCAAGUGCUCAGCAAAUCCCCGCCAAAUAUUUCGUUCAUGCCGGCUUUGAUUGGCACUUGACUAAUGUCAUGGAAUAAUCUCUUGUCCCAUCUGGAUUCGAUUAACCUGACACAAGGUCGUGAUAUGUUUCGCAGGAACCUUACUACAUUGGGAUCUUUCACAGUAGACUCUAUGUAUCGUGCACUCACGCUUUCUGAGGUACCGGUGAGUAAUAAAAAAAGUUGGAAAGCGAAGGUACCACUUAAAGUUAAAAUAUUCAUGUGGUAUCUCUGUAGGGGAGUUGCGCUAACAAAAGACAACCUCACAUGA